GUCCUAUUAGGCUAAUUAUUUUUUAAAUGGCCAUAAUACCCUUAAAAUUCAAUUAACAAAAUACUUUAAAAAAAAAUAUAAAGUAAAAAAAAAGUAUUAAAAAUCCCAAAUUCAAAAAAGAAAACCUAAACCUCGAAGACUCCUUUCUCUCUCUCGUACGGCGACGCCUGCGUCUCCUCUUCUCCGACUCCGGCUGAAACUGAAGGAUACUCUGGUGUCGAGCUCUUCUUCUGCGACUAUACUCCGGGGUGGGCUUAAAUCGACAACAAUCUCCCGUCUAAUCUCUUCUUCCCCUGUCGAAAUUGAAGCGAGGAAUUAGCUAAGCGUGUCACGUCUGCAAGCAGGUGGCUUCAGAACUACGAGAUUGAUGUUGUAAUGUACAUAUUCCGGGAAAGAACAACACCUUCCUCAAUCUCAGAGCCUCUCUGAUUUCUAUUGCCUUCUGGUCACUUCUUGCAGAUGGAUUCAUCAUCUUCUUGCAUAAGGUUAAAGUGUGUUUCAGGUUCUGUUCACAAAGCACCAAACUGUGUCUAAGACAGCUUAUUGGCGUGGAGACUGUGGAGUGUAGAUUGUUGACACUUUUUGGGUUUAUGAUGAGAUGAGCUGUUCAAUAUUGAAAUUAACGUGUAUAUGGUCUCAUGUUUCAUUGACCUACUAUUACUUGUAUUGUUUACUUCUACCAUUGCUUGUAAUGUGUAUAUGAUCUCUUGUU